CAAUCCAGGGGAGUGACAGUAGGCAUGGUUCAGCUUCCUCCACUGAAAAAAACAAUGUAUGGAGAAAGACUCUUCAAGUUUUCAGCACACUAUGAAGAGGCUGUGCCCAUGGACCACUAGAGAUUCGGACAAUGGAGAUGUGGUUCAGCCUCCUCCACAUAAGAAACGAUGUGUGAGAAAAGCCCCAGAACCUCUGAAAGUUACGCUUUGAAGGCCAGUACCUAAAGAGCACACCUGUAAAGGAUGUGCAUGUCAGUGAUAUCCACAUAAACAGCAGAG